rnacentral:rRNA from 1 species
GAGUGGCGGACGGGUGAGUAAUGCUUGGGAACUUGCCUUUGCGAGGGGGAUAACAGUUGGAAACGACUGCUAAUACCGCAUAAUGUCUUCGGACCAAACGGGGCUUUUAGCUCCGGCGCAAAGAGAGGCCCAAGUGAGAUUAGCUAGAUGGUGAGGUAAAGGCUCACCAUGGCGACGAUCUCUAGCUGUUCUGAGAGGAAGAUCAGCCACACUGGGACUGAGACACGGCCCAGACUCCUACGGGAGGCAGCAGUGGGGAAUAUUGCACAAUGGGGGAAACCCUGAUGCAGCCAUGCCGCGUGUGUGAAGAAGGCCUUCGGGUUGUAAAGCACUUUCAGUUGUGAGGAAAGGUUGGUAGUUAAUACCUGCCAGCUGUGACGUUAACAACAGAAGAAGCACCGGCUAACUCCGUGCCAGCAGCCGCGGUAAUACGGAGGGUGCGAGCGUUAAUCGGAAUUACUGGGCGUAAAGCGCACGCAGGCGGUUUGUUAAGCUAGAUGUGAAAGCCCCGGGCUCAACCUGGGAUGGUCAUUUAGAACUGGCAGACUAGAGUCUUGGAGAGGGGAGUGGAAUUCCAGGUGUAGCGGUGAAAUGCGUAGAUAUCUGG